CUCAAGCCUGUCCUGUCUGAGGACUGAAGUCCAGCACAGACAUAAAUGGGUCUUCAGCUUAGUUAAGUGUGAACCCGAAAUUGUUAAUCACUUUGCAUUGUAAAGGAAUCACUCUGGCCCAGUCCCAAGAAAGAAGAGGCCUGCUGCUGGACCAACAAGGGGCAGUGAUUUCCUGGGAAAUCGGUCACACCAGUGGUUCAAAAUGCAAGCUGCUGUAUUUCCCCAUCUGAACACUCCCAAAGCAAAGAUCCCAGAAUAACUGCCUCCUAUUAGAAUCAAUGAGACUUGAAAGUGCCCAAUUUUAGCUUGGUUGGGCUCAAUCUGUUUCACUCACAACUAAUACACUGAUUAAAAAAUCAAUAAGAAGGAACAGAAGAUGCCUCUGUUCGGGUACAGGAAAAAAGAGAAAGAAACGCCAUAUG